rnacentral:misc_RNA from 1 species
GAUGAAGAACGCAGCGAAAUGCGAUAAGUAAUGUGAAUUGCAGAAUUCAGUGAAUCAUCGAAUCUUUGAACGCACAUUGCGCCCGCCAGUAUUCUGGCGGGCAUGCCUGUUCGAGCGUCAUUUCAACCAUCAAGCCCCCGGCUUGUGUUGGGGACCUGCGGCUGCCGUAGGCCCUGAAAUGCAGUGGCGGGCUCGCUGUCACUCCGAGCGUAGUAGUUACAUCUCGCUCUGGGCGUGCUGCGGGUUCCGGCCGUUAAAAGCCUUAUUUACCCAAGGUUGACCUCGGAUCAGGUAGGAAGACCCGCUGAACUUAAGCAUAUCAAUAAGCGGAGGA